rnacentral:rRNA from 1 species
AUUGAACGCUGGCGGCAUGCUUUACACAUGCAAGUCGAACGGCAGCGCGGGCUUCGGCCUGGCGGCGAGUGGCGAACGGGUGAGUAAUGCAUCGGAACGUGCCCAGUAGUGGGGGAUAGCCCGGCGAAAGCCGGAUUAAUACCGCAUACGACCUGAGGGUGAAAGCGGGGGACCGAAAGGCCUCGCGCGAUUGGAGCGGCCGAUGUCGGAUUAGCUAGUUGGUGGGGUAAAGGCUUACCAAGGCGACGAUCCGUAGCUGGUCUGAGAGGACGACCAGCCACACUGGGACUGAGACACGGCCCAGACUCCUACGGGAGGCAGCAGUGGGGAAUUUUGGACAAUGGGGGCAACCCUGAUCCAGCCAUGCCGCGUGCGGGAAGAAGGCCUUCGGGUUGUAAACCGAUUUUGUUCGGGAAGAAAUCCUCUGGGCUAAUACCCCGGGGGGAUGACGGUACCGGAAGAAUAAGCACCGGCUAACUCCGUG